rnacentral:rRNA from 1 species
CGGACGAGGCCCCUUCGGGGACCGAGUUAGUGGCGAACGGGUGAGUAACGCGUGAGGAACCUGCCUUUCAGUGGGGGACAACAGUUGGAAACGACUGCUAAUACCGCAUGAAGCAUUUAGGGGGCAUCCCCUGAAUGCCAAAGAUUUAUUGCUGAAAGAUGGCCUCGCGUCUGAUUAGCUAGUUGGAGGGGUAACGGCCCACCAAGGCGACGAUCAGUAGCCGGUCUGAGAGGAUGAACGGCCACAUUGGGACUGAGAUACGGCCCAGACUCCUACGGGAGGCAGCAGUGGGGAAUAUUGGGCAAUGGGGGAAACCCUGACCCAGCAACGCCGCGUGAAGGAAGAAGGCUUUCGGGUUGUAAACUUCUUUUACCAGGGACGAAGAAAGUGACGGUACCUGGAGAAAAAGCCACGGCUAACUACGUGCCAGCAGCCGCGGUAAUACGUAGGUGGCAAGCGUUGUCCGGAUUUACUGGGUGUAAAGGGCGUGUAGGCGGAGAUUCAAGUCAGGAGUGAAAACUAUGGGCUUAACCCAUAAACUGCUUUUGAAACUGAAUCCCUUGAGUAUCGGAGAGGCAGGCGGAAUUCCUAGUGUAGCGGUGAAAUGCGUAGAUAUUA